GUCCGGUUGUCCCUGUAUUGCGUGAUUGACAGGUGUCACGAGCGUAUCGCCAAUCAUUGUCAAGUUUGGGUGAGGAGUGGGACCUGUCAGUUUUUGGGAAGACGGGGUUUUCAUCUCAGUGAGAGAGAAGCGGUGAUUGACAGAGCGGAAAAAUGCUGACAAGCGAUGCCGAGAGAAGGCGAAAUAAUAGUGUGAAAGUUUGUUCUUUCGUUGUUAAGUGUUAAAUGAAGACCCAACAGGAUUGAGGCUCGGUGUAUUGGAUCGGGGCGGGGGUGUGUGGUUGUUUCGAGACGUGCGGGUGAGUGUUGUUGGUAAAUUCAGUGAGGUUCGUAAAUGUGCUAUAUGCUAAAUUGUUAGCUGACUAGCAUCGACUGUGCAGGAGCAGAGGAAGACUGGAGUCAGGAUGCAUGUGCGAGGUCGGAGUUCCUGAGUGAGUAUCAGACUGCUUAUUGUCAUCUCAGGCACUUUGUGAGUGAGUACGUGUAUGUGAAGUUUUUUUUUUUUUGUGCUGUCAGUGUGCUUCGGAUUCUGGCCACUCGUGCUGCGACAGUAGAGGUGCUCCGGACUUGCCGCGCCCAGGGACUUCGGCAUGCGGACCGACUUUCUCCUUCUUCCAUUCUGUGCUUCCAUGAUGGUUAUAACAACACACUAAAUUUGUAAGGGACCGUGAGUACAAACGACUUGGAAAUCACACCCACACAAGAGCUCCAACAGCGCGCCAACGUACGUGGUACCACAGACUGAUUUAUAAAAUCCCGCGUAUUAAGAACUAUUUUUUUUCCUCUCUUUUUAUUUCUUCAUCCUGUGAAUAAAUGUGAACAUUUGUGAAUUUAAACGUAUAGUUGCUGUUGAUUGACAUAGACAAAGUGGCAUCAGUCAGGCAGAAUAUCAGUUAUAUGUUAACGUCCCCCAAUGAUGUGUGUGCUCCUCCUGCACUAUCUGCUGUUUUUGAGAACUUCGAAACAAUUUCUCUGUCGUCUCUCACUAAGGUGGUUAGUGGCUUAAAACCCACUAACUGUCCCUUAGACAUUAUUCCAGCCAAGUUUCUAAAGGAGGUAUUUAGUUCUGUUGGAUCAAGCUUGCUGUUUUUUAUCAACACCUGUCUUAGCUCAGGGUCUGUCCCAGCUGCUUUCAAACAUGCUGUGGUUAGGCCCCUCCUCAAAAAAACGCAUCUUGACCCCACUGUGCUGUCCAAUUUUGGGCCUGUCUCCCACCUGCCAUUUCUUUCUAAGGUUUUGGAAAAAGUUGUCUCCUUUCAAUUGCAUGCAUUUUUAGAGGUAAAUUCUGUUCUUGAUAAAUUUCCGUCUGGUUUCAGGUCUCGACAUAGCACUGAGUCAGCACUGUUAAAGGUACAUAAUGAUAUUGCCCUGUCCGUGGAUGCUGGAAACCCCGCUGUGCUGGUCCUGCUGGACCUCACAGCGGCUUUUGAUACAGUCGAUCAUGCAAUCCUUGUAUCUCGCCUUGAGCAGUAUGUAGGCAUCCGUGGCACCGCUCUCAAAUGGUUUAAGUCGUACCUGGCAGAUAGGAGUUUUUCCGUGAUGAUUGGUGACCUCUGCUCCUCACAGGCGCCUCUCUCUUGUGGGGUGCCACAGGGCUCUAUUCUUGGCCCUAUUCUGUUCUCUUUGUAUUUACUACCCCUGGGAUCAAUUAUAAGAAAAUACAAUCUGUCUUUUCAUUCGUAUGCUGAUGACUUACAGUUAUAUUUGCCCAUGCGACCCAACGAGAACAGUGCACUUUCUCACUUACUGGACUAUAUUACUGAAGUAAAACAGUGGUUGGCUCUGAACUUUUUGCACCUAAAUGACAGCAAAACUGAGUGUAUUUUAUUUGGCACGCCAUCGAUAUCAAACGUUUCGAUUACAGACUCUGGAAAUCUGGCGCCUUUUUUCAAGCCGCAUGUAAAGAAUCUUGGGGUAACAUUUGACAGUGGACUUAAGUUCGAUAAACAGAUUAGAUCUGUCGUCAGUACCAGCUUUUUUCAACUGCGUCUCCUGGCCAAAGUGAAGUCCUUUUUAAGUCGGCAGGACCUCGAGAAGGCAAUCCAUGCCUUCAUCAGUUCCAGACUGGACUAUUGUAAUGCCCUUUAUGUUGGCCUCAGCCAGUCUUUAAUCUCCCGUCUCCAGCUUGUACAGAACGCUGCUGCACGAUUUUUAACGGGCACGUCUAGGCGUGAACACAUCACCCCUGUGCUGUCUUCGCUACACUGGCUUCCAGUUUGUUUUAGAAUUGACUUUAAACUUUAAUUAUUUACUUUUUUGCCAUAAAUGGCCUGGCCCCCUCCUACCUGUCAGAGAUUUUAACUGUUCGCGAUCAUGGCAGGGCCCUCCGUUCCUCCGGUCAGCGCCUGUUGGAGGUCCCGAGGUCAAAACUCAAACAGUGGGGUGAUCGUUCUUUUGCUGUUGCAGCUCCUAGGCUGUGGAACAGACUGCCGCUAGAUGUACGCACCACCACUGACCUCAGUUUAUUUAAAUCAAAGUUAAAGACGCACCUUUUUAGACUUGCUUUUAACUCUGACUAGGUAGUCCUGUACUUAUAGGUUUUUAGCACUUCUACAUACUAUUUUAUUGUAUUAUUUUAUUUUCAUAUUCAUUUUUAUUAUUUCAUCGUUCUUGUAUUAUUGUAUUCUAUUGUAUUAUUUUAUAAUGGUAUUUUUUCUUGUGUUAUUUUAUUGCUUUUAUGUAAAGCACUUUGGGUACCAUUUGGGAUAUUGUAAAGUGCUAUAUAAAAAAAAUUUGAUUGAUUGAUUGAUUGAUUGAUUGAUGUUGUGCACAUUUGGGGGGCUAUCUUAAGACAUGCAUGGGAGUUAACACUCACACAGACACGUCACACAAUUCCCUGGUUUAUAUUUUGUAGCAUCACCACUUCCUCUCCUAUGCAAAAUACUGUGUGUAUGAUCCGGUAGGUAAUAGUAUUUUUAAAAAAUAGGAAUUGAGUGAGGGGGCUACAUAUAUUUAAAUUAACUUGUUUUUGUUCAUUAUUAAUUAUCUCAGAGUCACUCAGACAAAUUUGUCAAAGCUCUGCUGCUUCUUUGAAAUCUUACCCUACCUGCUGAAACCUGACACCAUAGUCUGGACGCUUCCUG